rnacentral:rRNA from 1 species
CCUACGGGAGGCAGCAGUGGGGAAUAUUGGACAAUGGGCGAAAGCCUGAUCCAGCCAUGCCGCGUGUGUGAAGAAGGCCUUCGGGUUGUAAAGCACUUUCAGUGGGGAAGAAAGCCUUGGGGCUAAUACCCUCGAGGAAGGACAUCACCCACAGAAGAAGCACCGGCUAACUCCGUGCCAGCAGCCGCGGUAAUACGGAGGGUGUGAGCGUUAAUCGGAAUUACUGGGCGUAAAGCGCGCGUAGGCGGUCUGAUAAGCCGGUUGUGAAAGCCCCGGGCUCAACCUGGGAACGGCAUCCGGAACUGUCAGGCUAGAGUGCAGGAGAGGAAGGUAGAAUUCCCGGUGUAGCGGUGAAAUGCGUAGAGAUCGGGAGGAAUACCAGUGGCGAAGGCGGCCUUCUGGACUGACACUGACGCUGAGGUGCGAAAGCGUGGGUAGCAAACAGGAUUAGAUACCCGGGUAGUC